UCCCCGAUAGCUCAGUCGGUAGAGCGCCGGACUGUUAAUCCGUAGGUCGUUGGUUCGAGCCCAACUCGGGGAGCCA
rnacentral:tRNA from 1 species